UACGUAGGUGGCAAGCGUUAUCCGGAUUUACUGGGUGUAAAGGGCGAGUAGGCGGGAUUGCAAGUCAGAUGUGAAAACUAUGGGCUCAACCGAUAGAGUGCAUUUGAAACUGCAGUUCUUGAGUGAUGGAGAGGCGGGCGGAAUUCCCGGUGUAGCGGUGGAAUGCGUAGAUAUCGGGAGGAACACCAGUGGCGAAGGCGGCCUGCUGGACAUUAACUGACGCUGAGGCACGAAAGCGUGGGUAGCAAACAGG
rnacentral:rRNA from 1 species